UAGGGAGUUUUCGGCAAUGGGGGAAACCCUGACCGAGCAACGCCGCGUGAACGAUGAAGGUCUUCGGAUUGUAAAGUUCUGUUGUAAGGGAGUAAUGGCUUCGAGAAUAGAAUGCUCGAGGUUUGAAAGUACCUUACCAGAAAGCCACGGCUAACUACGUGCCAGCAGCCGCGGUAAUACGUAGGUGGCAAGCGUUAUCCGGAAUUAUUGGGCGUAAAGAGUGAGCAGGCGGUCGUUUAAGUCUGAAGUCAAAUGCUGUGGCUCAACCACAGUUCGCUUUGGAAACUGGACGACUAGAGUACGAGAGAAGUAAGCGGAAUUCCAUGUGUAGCGGUGAAAUGCGUAGAUAUAUGGAGGAACACCAGUGGCGAAGGCGGCUUACUAGAUCGAUACUGACGCUCAGUCACGAAAGCGUGGGUAGCAAAUAGG
rnacentral:rRNA from 2 species